ncrna:unclassified sequences Actinomyces-1 RNA
GUUACCACUGAGCGGUGGCUGUCGUGAGGUACUGGGGAGUACUGCUGACCGGCGGGUAUCGAGUCUGGGCUACAGCCAAGGGAAUGGGCCUGGACGUUUCAGUGAAGGAG